GUGUCUCAACCACACCGUGAGGUGUGGCUUGGAUUUGGGGGUUACAGGCUCUGAAUUUGUAGUCUGCUCCCCUUAAAUGCAUGAGUGGUAACGACCUCUCCGUCAAGAUGUGAUACAUAUCUGCAUCUAGUAGGGUUUUGCUGCUAUACAAGAGUUGGAUUUGAUAA
rnacentral:misc_RNA from 1 species